rnacentral:rRNA from 1 species
GGGAGUAAUGUCUGGGAAACUGCCUGAUGGAGGGGGAUAACUACUGGAAACGGUAGCUAAUACCGCAUAACGUCGCAAGACCAAAGUGGGGGACCGUUCGGGCCUCAUGCCAUCAGAUGUGCCCAGAUGGGAUUAGCUAGUAGGUGGGGUAACGGCUCACCUAGGCGACGAUCCCUAGCUAGUCUGAGAGGAUGACCAGCCACACUGGAACUGAGACACGGUCCAG